CCGCGUUGUAGGCAAGAUCUGGUGCCAGGGUGCAUCAUGGUCAUCAGGGUUGGAGAGCUGUGGGCCAGCACCAGUGAAGGUGUGCAGAGAUGGCCUGUCCCAGCACACUGAUCUAUCGGAUAUUUCACCUUGUCUGGACCUUGUGCAUCCUAAGAAGGCAUCCUGCUGCACUACACAGAAUCCCUAAGUUGACUGGAGCAUCAAAAAGAUGAAUGUGAUAUUCAGAGGAACAGAUGUGGAAGACUGAGAACACCCAGGGUGAUUGAUUUCAAAGAAAGAUGUGGAAUAGAAUUUCAAGAACGAGCUGUCCUGGUGGAUUUCCAGCAUUGCAUCACCACCAAUGUGUCUGAUGACCUGACAUGAUGACAGUACUAUUAGAAGAAAGACUGCUGUCCACAGUGCAUCCGGCAGCUGUGCUGCAGAGUCAGCAGGUCUUACAUUUGGCAACGUCUUAAAUUUGAACAAGAGUUCUCCAGCCUGACUGAGUUUGGAAGUAUUCCCAAACACAAGAAAGCCUUAAACUUUCAUGAAAUUAUACACUAUGAAACUAAAGAAAAGAAAAAGAUUGCUCAAGUCAAACACCGUGAGACCAGAAGACAUUUUUAUGUGUGGGUUGUUUUUAUUUUUAGAAAUAAAAUAUAAUAGCUAAUUAGUGGAAAAACCAUGCCAAACAUUCUGCAAAAAGUAAUAUGUAGAAUGAAUUCAUUGUGGUAAAACACAGGGUACAUAAGUAUAUGUGUUUUCAUUGCUUUCUUGCCAUGGUCAGAUGUUUUGCUAAAUGCUUUAUAAACAGUGCUUUAUAUACAUAACAGAUAAAAACCCAGAGAGAUACUUUUUCUUCCUCACCCCUUUCAUGUUCUUCAUGAUGCCUCGCACAAAACCCAAGUUCUAUGAUCAAGCUACAUGUCUACCAGCAGAUCCAUGGAUUUUCUGAAGGCACAUUUGUACAAUGGAGGUUAGUUGGGGGGGAGCAAGCAAAGAAAAAAUUAUCAUGAUAUCUUGUAAUUAAAAAACAAGCCAUCAAAAAGUUGGAAGUGGAGAUCAUUAUGAUAAACACAAUAGCCCAAAUCAUAGAGGAAAUAUCACUUUUCCUCUCAUACCUGGAAGCUACAUUUGAAAUGUAUAUGCAUAAGAAAGCAAAGUAGAAGGGCAUUAUUUAGAGGAAGGAUGAGAGGGAAGGAAGAGAGGAAUAAGAAAGGGUCAUGGGAAGGGAAUUGUGCAAAUAUAUGCAUAAAAGGUCAUAGUGAUGCCCACCAUCUUCUACAAUAAAUAUAUGCUAAAGAGAAAAGAAGAAAAAGUAAUUUUGUUUCUGCUUUCAUCAGGAAUGUUGGAUCAAAGUUUCUUUUUAAAAAUGGUCAUGUUGUUAAACUUUCUACUAAAUAUUUAUGUUUAUUCCUACAGAGAAGAACUGUUCUCAGCUUUGGUGAGUAUAGAGACAGCAGUCAGUGCAGAGGCUCAUAACUGGUCAAAGAGUAUGUGAUGUCCCUAAGCAUGUGUACAUAUGGGCAAUACUAAAUGAACUCAGUAGGGUAUGCAUGUAUGUACACAACUGUACAGUGAGGCUCAGAGGCUCUGUCUCUUCAUAGGGUUGAGAACUUGGUCCAAGUCAACUGUCACCUGACACCUUGCACUAGUGUCAAGAAUAUGGCUCCCAGUCUUGGGGACCUAGAUCUCAGAGAGCAUGACUGUAGUCAUGCUCUGGAAUAGUGUGGCUGCUUAAAAAAAUGUUCACUUACUUAUACACAAAUUAAAAAAAUACACACGCAAAAGAAAGAGGAAUACACCCCCUUUUGCUGCUAAACAACUUACCUUAAUGUCUUAUAUGGAUAUAGGUUUCCUGGAGUAUCAGUAUUGGGCUAAAUUAUAUUCUCUGAGUAGAUUCAAAAUGGCCGACACGCACCUUCCAAGGGCUGGAGUUUGCUAGAAAGGUUGAUUUCAAGCCACGUCAGUUUCAUCUGUUGCAAUUUACCAACUAAUUCCAACCUCUCUUCAUAGGAUUGCAGCCAACAUUCAGAGGCCAAUAUUAAGUAGUUAGCCAUUCUGCUGCACAGUACUAUUAUUCUCAUUUCAUGCAUGAGGAACCCUGUACAUUGUGGACUAAGUAUUUUGUGCAAGGUCACAUGGUUAAUAAGUAGAAAACUUGGAUACAAAGCCAGGCAAUGUAGUCUCCAGAGCCUGAUCAUCUGUUUGUUAGCAUUUGGAUGGGGUAGUAGAGGGAAGGGCACUCUGAGGAGAGGAGCUACUCAUGAAGGUGGAGGUGGUUGGGUGAAAGUGGGGACUGGGCUAGAAUUAGCUUUCCUGAGCUGGGAGAAGCAACAUGAGGUUAAGGUGGAAAGGGUCUGGGUUCCUGCUCUCACUGUAGUUAAGCCUUUGGGGUUGGAGCCUUGUCACAGGUUUGAGCCUGUGGUUGAAAAGACAAAUAGGCAAGAAAUUGGCAAGAAGUGUGACCUUAUCUAGGAGGCAAAUGUCAGGCUAACGAAUGUGGUCAGGGUCAGUAUGAUAGGAGACGCUAAAUGUGAGCACAGCCAGACCCCUGUCCAUACUGCAAAUUAAAGGCUGAAGCUGGAACAUCCUUGGAUGUGUCAGCCAAGACCAAGUACAUGAUGUUCUGGAGAUCAAAUGUAUCUGGCAACCUUGAGGACAGAGAACCAGGAAGCCAGGGUGGAUGGUUUGGGUUUAGACAACUGAGAAACUGCAAUAGUACACACUGAUGACUUUGUUCUUUUCCACCCCUUGGUGGUAGAGUUCAAACCAGGAUCAUGCAUAAACUAGGCAAGCAUUCUACCACUGAAACACGCCCUUAGGCCUUGAUUUUCUUUGACACAGGGUCUUGUUAUGUAACCUAGGCUGUUCUAGAACACAUUGUCUUCCUGCACUCCAACUCAGCAUCCCAAAUGCUGAGAUUACAAGUGUGUGUCACCACACAGGACUUAAGGCCUUGUUCGUUUUAUGAUAGUAUCUGCAACAUUUGAUGACUUUGAUAUAUUAUUGGCACAUUAAGAGGUCAUGACAAUUCCAAACUAUCGGAGACAAAAGAAAUACAGAGAUAUGUUUUUGAUUGAAGCUUAUUACUUUCAAACAGUAGCUUUGACUUUGUGAUGUCUUAUGGUAAUAAUGGGACUACAAACAGAAAGAAUAAAUAAAAAGAGAUCUGUGUAAAGUGGAUGCCACAUGCAUUUUAAAUAAUAUACUCUGUGUCAUUUGUGAGUGUUGCACCCUUGAGAUGCCAGAUUUGUGUGAGAAGACAUUCCUCCUGAUGCCAAUGGGAUCUCUCUACAGAAAAACUUUUACUUUAUCCCAGAAAUUUUUGGAGAAAAGGAAAAAAAAUCUUAAUGGCACAUACAGUGUAGAAGUAGUUACUUUUUGUGGCUCUCAAACAAAACCACUGUGGAUUAUUACUUAUCCAACUAACACAACUCUAUCUUUCUUCCUAUUUUAGAGUGGCCAUUGUAAUAGAUACCAGUUCUGGAGAGGGCUGGUAAGCUAAUAAGAAGACAGUCUACAAACUCACAUCUGAAUGUGGGUUUCACAUCCUCCUCUCUUCUGAGACAGCAUCAGGCGGACCUGAAACUUGCUCUGUAGGUGAGGAUGAUCUUGAAUUUCUGAUCUUCCUGCUUCUACCUUUCAAGAGCUGCAAUUUCAGGUUAUACUACCAGAUAUAAUUUAUGUGGUGCUGGAAUUUGCACCCUGGACUUCAUGCUAGGGAAGUGUUCUAUUAACUGAGCCCUACAUCCUUCCUUUUUC